rnacentral:tRNA from 1 species
AAAUAAGAAGCAAUCACCUGCAUUUAAUUUCGACUUAAAAGAUAGAGUUCUUCACUCCUUAUUUU